UACGGGGGGGGCAAGCGUUGUUCGGAAUUACUGGGCGUAAAGGGCUCGUAGGCGGCCAACUAAGUCAAACGUGAAAUCCCUCGGCUUAACCGGGGAACUGCGCUUGAUACUGGAUGGCUUGAGAUUGGGAGAGGGAUGCGGAAUUCCAGGUGUAGCGGUGAAAUGCUUAGAUAUUACAUGGAAUACCAAUUGCGAAGGCAGGUUACUACCAAUAUAUUGACGCUGAUGGACGAAAGCGUGGGGAGCGAACAGG
rnacentral:rRNA from 1 species